GGGCCCGUGGCUUAGCCUGGUUAGAGCACCCGACUGAUAAUCGGGAGGUCACCGGUUCAAAUCCGGUCGGGCCCACCA
rnacentral:tRNA from 4 species